CCUACGGGAGGCAGCAGUGGGGAAUAUUGCACAAUGGGGGAAACCCUGAUGCAGCAACGCCGCGUGAGUGAAGAAGUAUUUCGGUAUGUAAAGCUCUAUCAGCAGGGAAGAAAAUGACGGUACCUGAGUAAGAAGCCCCGGCUAACUACGUGCCAGCAGCCGCGGUAAUCCGUAGGGGGCAAGCGUUAUCCGGAUUUACUGGGUGUAAAGGGAGCGUAGACGGCGAUACAAGUCUGAAGUGAAAGCCCGGGGCUCAACCCCGGGACUGCUUUGGAAACUGUGUUGCUGGAGUGUUGGAGAGGCAAGCGGAAUUCCUAGUGUAGCGGUGAAAUGCAUAGAUAUCACGCAGAACUCCGAUUGCGAAGGCAGCAUACCGGCGCUCAACUGACGCUCAUGCACGAAAGUGUGGGUAUCGAACAGGAUUAGAUACCCUUGUAGUC
rnacentral:rRNA from 1 species